rnacentral:rRNA from 1 species
CAGCAGCCGCGGUAAUACGGAGGAUCCGAGCGUUAUCCGGAUUUAUUGGGUUUAAAGGGAGCGUAGNUGGACUGNUAAGUCAGUUGUGAAAGUUUGCGGCUCAACCGUAAAAUUGCAGUUGAUACUGUCNNUCUUGAGUNCAGUNGAGGUGGGCGGAAUUCGUGGUGUAGCGGUGAAAUGCUUAGAUAUCACGAAGAACUCCGAUUGCGAAGGCAGCCUGCUAAGCUGCAACUGACAUUGAGGCUCGAAAGUGUGGGUAUCAAACAGGAUUAGAUACCCUGGUAGUCCACACGGUAAACGAUGAAUACUCGCUGUUUGCGAUAUACAGCAAGCGGCCAAGCGAAAGCGUUAAGCAUNCCACCUGGGGAGU